rnacentral:misc_RNA from 1 species
CUUCAACUAGGACUCACAGCGAAACUGUCAUUCGCAGACGGUGAGAGAUCGGUGUCCAACUUAAGUAAAGAAACAAAACCGGUCCUUAUAGUAAAAGAAAAACCGUAUUUCGUUGUAAAUUGCAUUAUUUUUCCAUACGAGCGCGAACCCGAGAAUUUUCUUACAUCGUAGACCGACAGUAGAUGUGAUUUCCUUUGUGAUCGACACUUGUUUUUUCUGUGUGAGUGCGGUUUUUUGUUGUUUCCCUAGUCAUGGCUGACGCGGAAACGAAAGAUCGUUUUGAUCCAGAACUGAAAUUUCUUUGCGUGGACAGGAAUCAUUACAAUGACCCGGCCACCCAGGCGGAAUGGACGCAGAAAAGGUUAGUUUGGGUGCCCCACGAAUCGCAGGGCUUCGUCGCGGCCAGCAUCAAAGGAGAACGGGGCGAUGAAGUCGAAGUGGAGCUCCAGGAGACCGGCAAGAGGACCAACGUGCCCAAGGACGACAUCCAAAAGAUGAAUCCGCCGAAAUUCGACAAGGUCGAGGACAUGGCCGAACUCACCUGUCUGAACGAAGCUUGCGUUCUGCACAACCUCAAAGACCGAUACUAUUCUGGUCUCAUUUACACCUACUCCGGCUUGUUCUGUGUGGUCGUGAAUCCGUACAGAAAGCUUCCCAUAUACACAGAUAAAAUCAUGGAGAGGUAUAAAGGAAUCAAGAGACAUGAAGUUCCUCCUCACGUGUUCGCCAUUACAGACACUGCCUAUCGAUCUAUGCUACAAGAACGAGAAGACCAGUCUAUUCUCUGUACGGGAGAAUCAGGUGCAGGUAAAACAGAGAACACAAAGAAGGUAAUCCAAUAUUUGGCCUACGUAGCGGCCUCUAAAUCACCCAAAGGAGCAGGAGCGCAGAAAGAUCUUAUCAGUCCUACAAGGGAAUUCUCGGGUGGCCUAGAGCAGCAAUUGCUUCAAGCGAAUCCAAUUUUAGAAGCCUUCGGUAACGCCAAAACUAUCAAGAAUGACAACUCUUCGCGUUUCGGAAAAUUCAUCAGGAUCAAUUUCGAUGCCUCUGGUUUCAUUGCUGGAGCCAACAUAGAAACCUACCUAUUAGAAAAAUCCCGUGCCAUUAGACAAGCGAAACAGGAGAGAACCUUCCAUAUUUUCUACCAACUUCUUUCAGGAGCUUCCGAUGCCCAGAGAAAGGAAUUUAUUUUGGAAGACCCACGAUCGUACGGCUUUCUCCGAGAAGACAAUCAUAUCGUUCCAGGAGUGGAUGAUUCACUCGAAUUCAAUGAAACUGUCAAGAGUAUGAAUAUCAUGGGAAUGACUAGCGAAGACUUCAGUGCCAUUUUCAGAGUCGUAUCAGCGGUGAUGUUAUUUAGCAAAAUGGAGUUCAAACAAGACCGCAGUUCUGAUCAAGCCACUCUUCCAGAUAACACUGUUGCUCAGAAGAUCGCCCAUUUGCUAGGAUUGUCUGUUACGGACAUGACCAGGGCAUUCUUGAAACCGAGAAUCAAAGUUGGCAGAGAUUUCGUCACCAAGAGCCAAACCAAAGAGCAAGUUGAGUUUGCUGUAGAAGCUGUUUCCAAGGCGUGUUACGAACGUAUGUUCAAGUGGUUGGUUACCCGCAUCAACAGAUCUCUAGGAAGAACAAAGAGGCAAGGAGCUAGCUUCAUCGGUAUUCUCGAUAUUGCAGGUUUUGAAAUUUUCGAACUCAAUUCUUUCGAACAAUUAUGCAUCAACUACACCAACGAGAAGCUCCAGCAACUUUUCAAUCACACUAUGUUCAUUUUAGAACAGGAAGAAUAUCAAAGAGAAGGCAUUGAAUGGAAAUUUAUUGAUUUUGGCUUAGAUUUACAACCUACCAUUGACUUGAUUGACAAACCAAUGGGUAUCAUGGCUCUGUUAGAUGAAGAAUGUUUAUUCCCUAAAGCUACCGACAAAACAUUUGUUGACAAGCUAGUUGCAUCUCAUUCUGCGCAUCCUAAAUUCAAAAAGAGUGACUUCCGUGGCGUUGCUGACUUUUCCAUAAUUCAUUACGCAGGAAAAGUAGAUUAUUGUGCCAAUCAAUGGCUGAUGAAGAACAUGGAUCCACAAAACGAAAAUGUGGUAUCUUUGUUACAAACGUCUCAAGAUCCAUUCGUUGUACACAUCUGGAAAGAUGCUGAGACCAUAGGAAGAGCUAAAGGAAUGUUUAGAACUGUUUCUUACUUAUACAAAGAACAACUGGCCAACUUGAUGGUUACCUUACGCAAUACUAACCCCAACUUUGUUCGGUGUAUUAUUCCAAACCACGAUAAGAAGGCUGGAAAAAUCGAUGCUCCAUUAGUUCUGGACCAAUUGAGAUGUAACGGUGUUUUGGAAGGAAUUCGUAUUUGCAGGCAAGGUUUUCCAAACAGAAUACCAUUCCAAGAAUUCAGGCAACGGUAUGAACUACUUACUCCAAAUGUUAUUAACAAAGGCUUCAUGGACGGUAAGAAGGCUUGCGAGGCUAUGAUUAAGUCACUCGAAUUAGACAAAAACCUAUAUAGAGUAGGACAGUCGAAAAUAUUCUUCAGAGCUGGAGUCCUAGCUCAUCUCGAAGAAGAAAGAGAUUACAAAAUCACCGAUCUUAUCGUUAACUUCCAAGCUUUCUGUAGAGGUUUCUUGUCUAGAAGAAACUACCAAAAGAGGGUACAACAACUUAAUGCUAUUCGCAUCAUUCAAAGAAACUGUUCUGCUUACUUAAAACUUAGAAACUGGCAGUGGUGGAGACUAUACACGAAAGUUAAACCUCUUCUUGAGGUCACUAAACAGGAAGAAAAACUCAUGCAAAAAGAAGACGAACUUAAACAGGUCAAAGAUAAAUUAGAACAUCAUGCUAAAACAGCACAGGAAUUCGAGAAGAAGUAUCAGCAAGCCCAAGAAGAAAAGGUCAUUCUUCAAGAACAGCUCCAAGCUGAAGUUGAGCUGUGUGCCGAAGCCGAAGAAAUGAGGGCAAGAUUAACAGCCCGCAAACAAGAAUUAGAAGAAAUUUUACACGAUCUUGAAGCUCGAAUUGAAGAAGAAGAAGAGCGAGCUACUAGUUUGAAUAAUGAUAAAAAGAAAUUACAGCUGACUAUUCAAGACUUGGAAGAACAGCUAGAAGAAGAAGAAGCUGCCAGACAGAAGAUACAGUUGGAAAAAGUUCAAUGUGAUAACAAAUUAAAGAAAUUAGAAGAGGAUUUGGCUCUGAGCGACGAUACAAAUCAAAAAUUAAUAAAGGAAAAGAAAGUAUUAGAAGAAAGGAGCAAUGAUUUAAGCCAGGCAUUGGCCGAGGAAGAAGAGAAAGCUAAACAUCUGUCCAAACUUAAAGCUAAACACGAGUCUACAAUUGCUGAACUAGAAGAAAGGUUAUUAAAAGAUCACCAACAAAGACAAGAAACUGAUAGAUCAAAAAGAAAAGUAGAAACAGAAGUGAAUGAUUUGAAGGAGCAAGUCAACGAAAAACGUCUACAAAUUGAAGAACUCCAACUACAAUUGGGCAAAAGAGAGGAAGAAUUGGCUCAAGCGAUGGUUAAAGUUGACGAAGAAAGUGCUCAAAAAGCUGUAUCACAAAAAGCUUUACGAGAACUAGAAAGUCAACUUACCGAGCUACAGGAAGACUUAGAGGCUGAAAAAGCAGCCAGAAGCAAAGCUGAAAAAUUGAAACGUGAUUUGAAUGAAGAAUUAGAAGCACUGAAAAACGAACUUUUGGAUUCUUUAGAUACAACGGCUGCUCAACAAGAGCUCAGAUCGAAGAGAGAACAAGAAUUGGCAGGACUGAAGAAGACUUUGGAAGAAGAGGCUCAACAGCACGAAGUAUCUGUAACUGAUAUGCGUCACAAGCAUUCACAAGAGCUGGGUAGCUUAAAUGAACAGUUAGAGAACCUGAAGAAACUAAAAGCCAACUUGGAGAAGACCAAACAGAGCCUUGAAGCCGAAAAUGCAGAUCUUACAAGCGAGCUGAGAAAUGUUGGAGCGAGCAGACAAGAAGGUGAAAGACGUCGUAAACAAGCUGAGGGUCAAUUAGCGGAACUUUCCGCAAAACUAACAGAAGUAGAAAGAUCUAAGGUCGAAUUACAAGAGAAGACAAUCAAAUUACAGCAAGAAUUAGAAAACGUCGCCCAACAACUUGAAGGAGCUGAGUUAAAGGCAUCUGCUGCUGUUAAGAGUCAAACAACGAUAGAAUCACAAUUCAGUGAAGCACAGGCUGCUCUUGAGGAAGAAACCAAGCAAAAACUGGCUCUAAGUUCUAAACUGCGACAACUAGAGUCAGAAAAAGAAGCUCUUCAAGAACAGAUGGAGGAAGAAGAGGAGGCUAAGAGAAACAUAGAAAAACAGGUUGCUGUAUUGAGUGUUCAACUGGCCGAAGCCAAGAAAAAGGCAGAAGACGAAGCCGAACAGGCCGCCAUACUCGAAGAAAGCAAGAAGAAAUUGGCCAAAGACCUUGAAGCUCUCCAGAGUAAAGUCGAAGAGUUGACAACAAUAAACGAUAAACUGGAAAGAAGUAAAAAGAAGAUUGCUGCUGAAUUAGAAGACGCCAAUAUCGAUCUAGAAACUCAAAGACAGAAAGUAUCUGAAUUAGAAAAGAAACAGAAAAAUUUCGAUAAAGUGUUGGCAGAAGAGAAAGCUGUUAGUGAACAAUUGGCUACAGAAAAGGACAUUGUUGAAAGAGAAGCACGAGACAAGGAAACCUUAGUACUCUCCUUGAAACGGGAACUGGACGACUCUAACGUUAAAAUCGAAGAGCUAGAAAGAAUUCGCAGACAGCUACAAGGCGAACUCGAUGAACUUGUCAACAACCAAGGAACGGCUGACAAAAAUGUACAUGAAUUGGAAAAGGCCAAGAGAUCGCUCGAAAGUCAAUUGGCCGAACUUAAAGCUCAGAAUGAAGAGCUUGAAGAUGAACUACAGUUGACUGAAGACGCCAAACUUCGAUUAGAGGUCAACAUGCAGGCACUUAGAGCACAGUUCGAACGAGACAUACAAGCUAAAGAAGAGCAGGCUGAAGAAAAACGCCGGGGCAUUGUCAAACAGCUCAGAGACCUUGAAGCCGAACUAGACGAAGAGAGAAAACAAAGAACAGCAGCUGUUAGUUCAAGAAAGAAGCUCGAGGGCGAUAUUAAAGAGUUAGAGGGACAGAUCGAACUUCACUGUAAGGUAAAGGAAGAUGCUCUCAAGCAAUUGAAGAAGUCACAACAACAGUGCAAAGAAGCUAUCAGGGAUGCCGAAGAAUGCAGAGCUGCCAGAGAUGAGUAUGCAGCGGCAAGUAAAGAGGCUGAAAGGAAAGUCAAGACUUUGGAAGCGGAAGUACUUCAAUUAACGGACGAUCUCACGAAUUCCGAUAAACUCAGAAGGGCAGCCGAGGCCGAGAGGGACGAAUUACUGGAAGAAAUUAGCAAUAGCAAUAAUAAGGGUACACUACUUAUCGAUGAAAAACGCAGAUUAGAAGCAAGAAUAGCAACGUUAGAGGAAGAACUCGAAGAGGAACAAAGUACUAACGAAAUUCUACAAGAUAGAACUAGGAAAGCUCAAUUGAAUAUUGAACAGUUAACUGCUGAACUUACUAGUGAAAGAUCAACGGCGCAAAAACAGGAAUCCCAAAGAGUUUUACUCGAGAGGCAGAACAAGGAGCUCAAGGCUAAACUGGCCGAACUCGAAACGGCUCAACGAACCAAGACUAAGGCAACCAUUGCUGCGUUGGAGAGUAAAAUUGCCAAUCUUGAAGAACAACUUGAGGUUGAAGCGAAAGAGCGCCUGGCCCAACAAAAAACCAAUAGAAAACUGGACAAGAAAACAAAGGAAUUGGUUAUGCAGCUGGAAGACGAACGACGACAUGCAGACCAAUACAAAGAGCAGGUAGAAAAGGGCAACGCCCGAGUCAAGGCAUUAAAGCGGCAGUUAGACGAAGCCGAAGAAGAAGUUACGAGAGAAAAAGCACAGAAACGAAAGGCGCAAAGGGAAUGCGAAGAUAUGCUUGAGUCACACGAGUCUAUGACCAGGGAAAUUAAUAACCUUAAGAGCAAACUGAGAAAAUCGAGGUGCGAGGGUUUUUCACACCCCUGCUACGAAUGGCGAGGCACUAUGGGCAUUUCAUCGUCACGACUGAGCUCCACGAAACGGGGCUCCAUCCAGACCAGUGGAAACGGUUCCGGUGACGAUUCCACCACGCAGGACGAGGCCAUGGAUGGGGAUGAUGCCCCCAACUAAAUUAUUUAUAUUAAAAUAUUGCCCAUUUAAUUUUUAUCCAUUAAUAACAACAGAUAAUUAGAUAGGAGUGGAAAUAAACAUUUCGAUGAGUAUUAAGGUUAGAGUGACAAAAUGCUGAGGUACACGUCAUAUGUCAUACUUCGUGUACAUAUACUUCUUACCAAACUAGUAUUGUUCUUUAUUAAGACCAAUAAUAUAGAAUUAUUACACUCUAUGCAAUUUUCAGAUUGUAUUGUAUAAGACCAAAGCAGUUUUCUGAUUUAAAUGCUUGCAAUAAUUGCUUUUCUUUCGUAAAAUGACCCAUACAUUUAUGUAUACUGUAAAUUCUUUAUUUCUGGAUGCUUUUGUGACACUAAUAAUGUAACAUAUUACUGCCGUGUGAAUUUUCAAUCCAUAUGGAGCAUAAUUGCAGAGAAACCAUUCACUUAUAUGUGCAUUCUUACCUUAACACUACUCUCAACACAUAUUUGGCCAAAAAAUUUUCAUUUCUAUCUAAAAUCGACGUAUUAUAAAAUAUCAUUCACCUAGCGAAAAAGUUUGCUUCUUUGUAAAUACAUUUAUGUUUUUCUAGUACUUAGCAAGAUAUUUAUAAACUUUCAGUUGGAUCAAGACGUAUUUUCAGUUGAUAGUAUCUUAAAGCUGGUAAAAAAAUUAUUAUCUGGCUAAAAACUUGUUCUAAAACGUAAUUUUUUCGUACUUAAAAAGAAUUUACUUCAAAGGUUUGAUGUACAUAUGUAGUACAUAUAUCAAAAAUAGGUAUACUGAUAGUGGGUGUGUUAUAUAUCCUUGAGGAUACUUCUAUUUAUAGUUCUGAUGAUUAAUAGCUUGUUUGAUUGGUGAAAAAUGAAAUUUAAUGCUAAUUUACAAGUUUCUACUAUAAUACUAAAACAUCGUAACUAUUGCAGAAUAUAAUUAUACUACAAUCACAAUAAAGAUACACUAGAAAUAACCAAACCACGUUGAAUGUUCGAGGAGCACUCCCAAAUCAUAAUUUAUAAUGUAUAUACAUACAUUGUAAAUCCCAAAUCAUGAUUUAUAAUGUAUAUACAUUGUAAAUCAUGAUUCGGGAGUGCUCCUCGUAACAUUCAACGUGUUUUGGUUUGUUUAUUUCUAGUGUAUCUUUAUUGUGAUUUUAGUAUAACUAUUGGUUUAUUCGGUAUUACCAUGAUUCGAUUAUAUUUCUUUCGGAUUGUUGGCAUUUAGGAAACGUAAGAAUAUUCUGAUUACUUUUUUCAUGUUUCGUCAUCCUAAUUAUUUAUUCCCCUUUAUUCGCCAAUUAUUUUAUGUAAUUAUAUAUUCUAGUUACUGUAAUCAGUUACAGUUUUUAUUUACUGAAGUCUUGAUAAACCUUCGAUAAAACGUGGAUUAUAAUUGCUUCCCAGCAUCAAGCCAGUCGUGAAAUAAAGCCAUCUUGAUCCAACUUUACUUACAGAAAAUUGGCCAGAAGCAUUUAUUUACUAUAAGGGGCCUACCAUUUAAUGGAUUUAUUGCGUACAUUAUUUUUUUACAUAUUGAAUUUUUAUGUUUUAAGAUUUUUAUUUAUAUAAACUUCAUCUUGAUACUUAUUUUGAUUUAAUUAUCUACGUACUUUUUAGUCUGAUGACGAGUAUUUUUCUUAAUUGGGUAAAGUUAUCUUUAUCGCGUACCAAUACCAAUUAUUCUUUUAAUAUAUUUCAUCUUUACAUACUUCGAAAGUAUAGUCAAUGCUAAUGUAAUAAUAUAUAAUGAAAAAUAGUAUAGACAUUAACAUUUUGAUACACAAGUAUAUUUGUAGAGUAUAUAUUUUGUAAAGACAUCUAUAUUUUAGUCGAAACAUGAUUUUGAUAUGCAUGUUUUUGUAUAAACAACUUCUUGCAUUUUGUAAAUAUCUUUAAGCGUAAUUAUGGGGGUUCAGGGCUCAUUUUCAUUAUUCUUUGAUGAGUUGAAUAAAACUAUAUCUACAUCAUCA